CCAAAGCAGGAUAUUGCAUCAUGGAAUUUGAAAUCUUCCAUUGUCCCUUCUACUUAGAUGUCCAAUCAAUAACAUUUCUAGGAUAUGCUUUCAUUCAAAUUCCCUACAAGUUGUAAGAUGGUAAUAGGCUAGAGAAGACAAACUAGAACCUUGUAUUAGAAAUACUGAUACUACUGGAAUUUAUAUUUAGCGGUAGUCCAUUAAAACUGUUGCUAGAGACCCAACGAAUGCCACUACAUAUAUUAUCUUCACUUUUCCUCCCUCAUGCCUCUUCUCGCCCUCCCUAUCAUAGUCGUCCUUCCUUCUCUCUCAAUCGUCCCUCUCUCCCUCUCUCUGUAAAACCUAGAAAUAGAAUCGACACCUUCACCCUUCCUCUGGCACAGAUUCAUUCAAUCGUCCAGGCGCAGAUUUCAGGUCAUGAUUUUCAUAAUCCAUUUUUUUUCUUGGUGGGAGAGGAUUGGAGAAUUGGAAGAAGUCUCACAAUUCCCACAUACACACUCUCUCUUCGGCCUCCAAUUUCUCUGCCAACUUAGGGGAUAAAAACUCGAGGUUCUCUGGUUUGCUCUUCGGUCGCCAUAGGUUUUGAUAUAACGUUUCAUUUGGUUCCAUUUGUUGAGUACUUGGUGCUGAAAGGGAGGAAGAGUCUCAUAAAGCUCUCUCAUUGCCGGUGUUAUAUUAUUAUUGCAUAUCGUGGGCUUCUUUGGCUCGUUAGCAUUUUCAAUCUAGCUUGGUGCUAACUUCAGGCCAGUCUGUUUUGUUAAAAUUUAUUAGGCAUGAGUUUCAGAAGGCUGGCCUGGGUAUGUGGAGAGAGGAUCAUACUACUCCCACUACAAGGAAAAGCUUGGAUGAUAAUAGUUCUGGAUUUAUGGCAGCUCAUCCGGGACUUUUCCCUCGUCCAUGGUCUCUUUCAUUGAGUGCAUUGGACAAGACACUGGUUUCGAAAGUGAUCAAAAAGUUUGUCCUUCUUGGGAAGAUUGUAGCAAAGGCUCUACAAGAUGGAAGAGUUCUGGACUUGCCCUUCUCCAAAGCCUUUUUAUAAAUUUAUUCUUGAAAAGGAACUCUAUAUAUAUGAUAUUCAAUCAUGAAUCAUUUGAUCCAGUGUUUGGAAGAACGUUGCUAGAGUUUCAGGCCCUUGUGGACAGAAAAAAAAAUGGACUCUAUUUUUGAGAAAGGCACAAAUUUUAUAUCUGACUCAUGUUUCCGUGAUACCAGAAUUGAAGAUCUUUGCCUUGAGUUUACUCUUCCUGGAUAUCCAAAUCAUAUUCUUGGUUCUGAACCUGACAAUAAAAUUGUAUGUCAUGCUUUAUCAUUUGGUUCUUGUUCUUUAUAGAGACUAUGCUAUUCCAAAGUGUGGAAUUAUUCCUUCAAAUAAAUCUUUCCUAGGUAAAUAUGGAUAAUUUGGAAGAA